UGAGGAAUAUUGGUCAAUGGGGCGCGAGCCUGAACCAGCCAAGUAGCGUGCGGGAAGAAGGCCCUAUGGGUUGUAAACCGCUUUUACCGGGGGAUAAAGUGAGCGACGUGUCGCUCAUUGCAGGUACCCGGCGAAUAAGGACCGGCUAAUUCCGUGCCAGCAGCCGCGGUAAUACGGAAGGUCCGGGCGUUAUCCGGAUUUAUUGGGUUUAAAGGGAGCGUAGGCCGGAUGUCAAGCGUGUUGUGAAAUGCCGGGGCUCAACCUUGGCACUGCAGCGCGAACUGGCGUCCUUGAGUGCGCACGCCGCGGUGGAAUUCGUUGUGUAGCGGUGAAAUGCUUAGAUAUGGCGAAGAACUCCGAUUGCGAAGGCAGCUGACGGGUGCGUAACUGACGCUCAUGCU
rnacentral:rRNA from 1 species